AGUGAACGCUGGCGGUAGGCCUAACACAUGCAAGUCGAACGGCAGCACAGUAAGAGCUUGCUCUUACGGGUGGCGAGUGGCGGACGGGUGAGGAAUACAUCGGAAUCUACUUUUUCGUGGGGGAUAACGUAGGGAAACUUACGCUAAUACCGCAUACGACCUACGUGUGAAAGCAGGGGAUCUUCGGACCUUGCGCGAUUGAAUGAGCCGAUGUCGGAUUAGCUAGUUGGCGGGGUAAAGGCCCACCAAGGCGACGAUCCGUAGCUGGUCUGAGAGGAUGAUCAGCCACACUGGAACUGAGACACGGUCCAGACUCCUACAGGAGGCAGCAGUGGGGAAUAUUGGACAAUGGGCGCAAGCCUGAUCCAGCCAUACCGCGUGGGUGAAGAAGGCCUUCGGGUUGUAAAGCCCUUUUGUUGGGAAAGAAAAGCAGCAGGUUAAUACCCCGCUGUUCUGACGGUACCCAAAGAAUAAGCACCGGCUAACUUCGUG
rnacentral:rRNA from 1 species